CCUUGCCCUGCUUUUGGUCUGUUUUCGUCAGAUCGAGGACAUUUGGACAGGCCUUAUUUGCUCUGGAAUGCUUGAAGGUCAAACAAAGAAAAAGAACCAAGAACGAAUUGUACCAGCUGAAAAUCCAUCCUGACAUUCAGUGCUGCAAGAUUGGAGCUCAGUGCAGGCCGGCUUUUGUUCUACAACACCAACUCCCCAAGAAUAGGCUUCUGAAUGCCGUGGAAGAGGCUGAUUCUUGUUCUCUGAAGUUGUGCUGCGCCGUGCUGCACUUGAAGAAGGUGAGCUGGCAUUGGUAAUUGGUUCUUGUGCCCCAGAUGAUUCAAAGCAGAUGGAGACUGCCUUGCCAGAUGCGGUCUGCAACUGGAACUCCGAGGGGCUAAGAGGAAGAAAGGCACUAUUACAUGUAUGCUCAUUGUAGUAGGUGACUGAGUACAAUGGUGGAUCACUAUAGUCUUUCUGCUGAAUCUGCUUCGUCGCCGGGCAAUUCAUGUUAUCUUUAUAGGUGCAUCUGUAGUAGUACCUGCAAUGAGACAGGCAAGACAAUGGUUUGAGCGAAAUGAACAUGAAAAGAUUCAGUUUUCUGCAAUAAACUUGUUGUAAUA